AUUAAAUUUUAUUUAUUAUAAUAAUUUUUUUUUAUUUUAACUUAUUAAAAAUAAUUAUAUAAUUAAUAGUUUUAGUAUUAUUUAAAAAAUAAAUAAUUUUUAUAAUAGUGAAUUAGUAUUGUGAAAGAAAAUUGAAAUAUAUUGAAAAAUUUUUAUUAUAAAAGAAAAUUUAAUUUAUUGUACCUUUUGUAUCAGGGUUUAUUAAAUAAAUAAUAAAGAUUUAUUUUUCUCGAUUUUAAAAGAGUUAAUUAAUUUAUAAAUUUAAUGUGAUAAAAUUAUUUUAAAAAAUUAAUUAGAAAUGAAAUGUUAUUCGUUUUUAAAUAUAUCUAGUUUUUUAAGAAAUGAAUUUAAUUCAGAAAUUUUAAAUUAUUUAUUUAAUUAUUAAAUUAAAUAAUUUUUUAAUUUUAAUAUUUUAUGGGAUGAGCUAUAAAAUAUUUUUAAAAAAUUUUAAAUAUGUAUUUAAUAAAUAUAAGCUUAGAAUUAGUUAUUAUUAAUAAAUUUGUUAUAAAUUAUUUUUUUUUGUUAUAUUAUUUAUUUUAUUUUUAUUUUUUAUUAAAAUUUUAGUUUUAAUUAUUAAAAUUAAAUAAUAAUGAUAAAAUUAGUAUAUUAUUUUUGUAAAAAUAUAUUUUUUUGAAAAGUUUUUAUAAAUAAUUCGGCAAAUUUUUAUAUUCGCCUGUUUAACAAAAACAUGUCUUUUUGAAUUUUCUAAAAAGUCUGACCUGCCCAAUGAAUUUUUAAUGGCCGCAGUAUUUUGACUGUGCAAAGGUAGCAUAAUCAUUAGUUUUUUAAUUGAAGGCUGGAAUGAAUGGUUGGACGAGAUAUAAGCUGUUUCAUAAAAAUUUAUAUUAGAAUUUUAUUUUUUAGUUAAAAAGCUAAAAUUUAUUUAAAAGACGAGAAGACCCUAUAAAUCUUUAUAUUUUAUUUAUUUAAUUUAUUUAGAAUUAUUAAAUUUUAAUAAUUAAAAAUAUUUUAUUGGGGUGAUAUUAAAAUUUAAUAAACUUUUAAUUUUUAUUAUACAUUAAUUAAUGAGUUAUUGAUCCGUUAAUUACGAUUAAAAAUUUAAGUUACUUUAGGGAUAACAGCGUAAUUUUUUUGGAGAGUUCUUAUCGAUAAAAAAGAUUGCGACCUCGAUGUUGGAUUAAGAUAUAAUUUUAGGUGUAGAAGUUUAAAAUUUAAGUCUGUUCGACUUUAUAUUCUUACAUGAUCUGAGUUCAAACCGGCGUGAGCCAGGUUGGUUUCUAUCUUUAUAAAAUUAAUAUAUUUUAGUACGAAAGGACCAAAUAUAUAAAUAAUUAUAUUUUUAAAAAGAAUUUUAUUAAUAUU
rnacentral:rRNA from 1 species